rnacentral:rRNA from 1 species
UACACUCCUGCGGGAGGCAGCAGUGGGGAAUUUUGGACAAUGGGCGAAAGCCUGAUCCAGCAAUGCCGCGUGAGUGAAGAAGGCCUUCGGGUUGUAAAGCUCUUUUGUCAGGGAAGAAACGGUGAAAGCUAAUAUCUUUUGCUAAUGACGGUACCUGAAGAAUAAGCACCGGCUAACUACGUGCCAGCAGCCGCGGUAAUACGUAGGGUGCAAGCGUUAAUCGGAAUUACUGGGCGUAAAGCGUGCGCAGGCGGUUUUGUAAGUCUGAUGUGAAAUCCCCGGGCUCAACCUGGGAAUUGCAUUGGAGACUGCAAGGCUAGAAUCUGGCAGAGGGGGGUAGAAUUCCACGUGUAGCAGUGAAAUGCGUAGAUAUGUGGAGGAACACCGAUGGCGAAGGCAGCCCCCUGGGUCAAGAUUGACGCUCAUGCACGAAAGCGUGGGGAGCAAACAGGAUUAGAAACCCUGGUAGUCCC